UACGGGGGGGAGCAAGCGUUGUUCGGAUUUACUGGGCGUAAAGGGCGCGUAGGCGGCCACUGCAAGUCAGUUGUGAAAUCUCCGGGCUUAACCCGGAAAGGUCAACUGAUACUGCAGGGCUAGAGUGCAGAAGGGGCAACUGGAAUUCUCGGUGUAGCGGUGAAAUGCGUAGAUAUCGAGAGGAACACCUGCGGCGAAGGCGGGUUGCUGGGCUGACACUGACGCUGAUGUGCGAAAGCUAGGGGAGCGAACG
rnacentral:rRNA from 1 species